AUACGUAGGGUGCGAGCGUUGUCCGGAAUUACUGGGCGUAAAGAGCUCGUAGGUGGUUUGUCGCGUCGUCUGUGAAAUUCCGGGGCUUAACUCCGGGCGUGCAGGCGAUACGGGCAUAACUUGGGUACUGUAGGGGAGACUGGAAUUCCUGGUGUAGCGGUGAAAUGCGCAGAUAUCAGGAGGAACACCGGUGGCGAAGGGGGGUCUCUGGGCAGUAACUGACGCUGAGGAGCGAAAGCAUGGGUAGCGAACAGGAUUAGAUACCCUGGUAGUCCAUGCCGUAAACGGUGGGCGCUAGGUGUAGGGGUCUUCCACGACUUCUGUGCCGUAGCUAACGCAUUAAGCGCCCCGCCUGGGGAGUACGGCCGCAAGGCUAAAACUCAAAUGAAUUGACGGGG
rnacentral:rRNA from 1 species